CUUAACUGCUGAGCUGCCUCUUCAAACCUCACGUUCAUUUUCUUUGUUAGUGAGCAUACACUUGGUGCUUACUUCACGCUUUUAAAUUCUCUGAAUGAGGUGCAGAGUUAAGAUUACUAUGUGAGGAUGGGUUUACUGGCUCAUCUGUGCUGUUGGAUAUCACAAAAACUAUACUCAGACCUUGAUCUUGCUCAUCAGCUUCCAUUAGUGUUUGUGUUUUAGUGUGUGGCCCCAAACAAUUCUUCAUUCAGUUUGUUUUUGGCACAGAGAGGCCAAGGUUUGAACACCACUGCUGUGGAGUUCCUGUUACUAAUAGGAAAAGGCCCACAGGAAAGUAGAAUGCUGUGUGGUGCCAACAGCGGGCUCACGCUCCUGGCUUUACAGUGUUGUCUUCUCUUGUGCUCAUAAUACCCUCAUGUUGUUUUACGCAUUGAGGACCUAAGAUCAAUAGGCUAUGCCACGCAUGUGUAUGUACUUAUACGUGAGUGUGCAUAUAUGCCACCUAGACGUGCCAAAGGUUGUACCAUCUAGGAUUGUGUAAUCACACUUUACGAUGUUUGUGCGGUGAUGAAGUUGCCUAGUGAGGGGCCUCCUUAUUAAAUGAGACAGGACUGUGAAUGAGCAAAUAAGACCCAAGAUCCUCUGGAAUAAGGACAGUAAGUCUCUUGUAAAUACUGCUUGAGAUUCCAGAAGUCUCUGACAGAGACCUCACCCUUUCCUCCGCUGCUGUCAUGUGUAGAGUUUCCCCUCCCACUGCUACCCACCCACCUGCCUUCUGGGACACAUUUCUCCAGGAGACACUUUCUGGGAAAAGCUCCUCUACCCAGGGACGCUUUGCAGUCACAGGGGUCCCACCGAGCUCCUGGGAUGGGGCCACUAGGUUGGUGAGUUACAGGGACAAAGGCAGAAGUGUCUGCAGAGCCUCAAGCCUGGGCAUGACACACACCCCACUUCCCUGAAUCUCACUGACCGUCCUCCAUACCCCUUGCUCCCUGCCUGGUCUCCUUCUGACCUUGCAUUCAUGAGGAGUGUGGGCACGCACAAGUGCCAGGGCUUUUAUUUCUGUGCAGUUUCAUUUCAAAGAGACCUGGGGCCUCAUAGCAAAGCAGAAGAGCCAGGAAACCUGGGCUUGUAUCUCACAAGUUGGGCUGCCUUGGAUAAGCUUCUCACCUACAAAAUGGACUACUUCCUUGUUCCAGUUUCCAGCACACUGCCAGGCCCACAACAGAGAUGAGGAAGCAGACACCCAGAGGGCAAGAGCUGUGCCCAGCAUCCCUUGGGAUGUGCAGUGGAGACAGGGCAUAAACUAGCUCAACCUGAUACAAAAGCCACUGCAAAGAAGAGAAACUUCUAGAACAAAGACCCGGCUCUUCCCUCCAUCUCAGAGCCUUGGAGCCUUGGGGGGAUGUCCAGAGGCCGUGUCCUGCUCAUGAUACUGAGACCUCCACAGCAACCUCACGGAUGCCAGCUCUCAUGUCGCCCGUAUCUGUGCUGAGGCCUCCAGGCCUGAGCAAGACCAAAGCUCCGGAGUGAUGGACGACCCCUCAGGGUCACUUCUGAGGGACCCCAGUGCUUGCCCCGCUGUGUCUCCAAGGCCUUCCUUAAAUACAUCUGUUUGGCCAACACCAGCUUCACUCGCACCCAGCAGGCAGAGGGUGUCAGGACAAGUGGCCACAUCAAGUGUGGCCAAGAGAAAGACUGGGCAUGUGUUUGAUGAUACAAAGGCAGUACGCAGACAGAGGACCUGCAUAAGUCGAAGGAUCAUUCUCCAUGACUUUGUAAGGGGGGGGACCCAGAGCCUGAGUGGGGACCACAGAGCCUCCCAUCCCAGGUCCUCUCCUGGCUUCCCCAGUGGCACGUGCAACCUUUCUUGUGCAUCUACUGAUUGAGAGCUUGCCACCUCCUGAGACAGCUUUUUCUGGAGCCAGAUUUUGGAAUGGGAAACCAAAUAUGCAGAUGAACCCUGGCCAAAACUUUCACUGCCAUAGGCUCCAAUUACCCUUUCCAGAGGCCACUCUGGGCCUCACGAAACCUCCCUGUCUGUGGCUGCGCUUUUGAAGGUGAGGGUUACUUGUCAUAACUGGUGUUAUUAGGGAGAUGUCACACAAUACUAAUUGCUCUGGAUUUUUUUCUUGAUAUUGAACCCACGUUUACAAGUGCCUACACAUUGCGUUUGUCUCUUCGCUUGUGAGAGAAUUGAGUUGGCUGUGGCAAGGAUGCUAAGCAUUCCAUCAGCUUUGUUAUGACUUCAAUACAGUAAGAAAAUGCCCUUUGGA